UGGCAAUUCUCUGAGGUUGUUGCAGCGUUCAACUUCCAACACUUUUAAACUAUUGGUAGAUCCUCGAAUAAGCCAUUUUGGAAAGUCCACAAUUUUUGGCAACGAUCUUAACUGUAAUCUUUGGAAAGUCCACAAUUUUUGGCAACGAUCUUACACUUUUAACUGUAAUCUUUGGAGGCUGAAGUCCGCAUACUCCGUGUGUAUGGACUUGCUAGGAAAAUCUUUUAAUGUGGGGGAUGAGUUGUGAACUAGUUUGUGGAAUGUUUCGGUCCCUCAAAAAGUGAAGGAUUUCUGCUGGAGAGCUUGUAGAAAUAUAUUGUCUACAAAGGAUAACUUAAGGCAAAAGGGUGUGGAUGUGGAUACUAGAUGUCCUUGGUGCCAUGAAGAUGAAAGUAUCAAUUAUAUUUUGUUGCAUUGUCUUGUGUCCAAGGAAGUUUGGAGGUUAGGGGGGAGUGGAGGAUUUGCAGCCUAAUGAUAAUUUUUUAAUUUUUUAUGGCAGAUUUUGAAGUCUUUUGUAAUGGUUUGUGCAUGGAGAUUAUGGCCAGUAAGGAACUCAUUAUUAUGGAACUAGGUGCAAAAUUCAGCAGCUCACCUUGUGGAAGACGUCAUGCAUCAUAUCUUGGAUUGGGAAACUGCUCAACGUGCUGGUGCUUUGCAUGGAAAUACCACUGUUACUUUAUAUUAGGGCAGGAACUUGUUUUAUUCCUCUAACCCUACUCGGGAUCCUGAAGCCGUUCCUCUCCAAAUUCGUGCGUCAUCUUCAAGUUUGGACAAUUUCAGUUGGUUUUGUCAAAUUGAUGGGGUUUUGUUUCAAGGUCAAGAUUUUAUUGGCUACGGUUUUGUUGUGAAAAACUCUGAGGGUAUAUUUCAACGUGGAAUUUCUGGUUUCUCAGAAGGUAAUGGUACACCGGUAAUUGUUGAAGUUUUAGCUAUCCGUCACUGUUUGCUUUUUGCGACGGAAUUUUUGUCUUUAAAUGGCUGCAUUCUUAUGAACUGUCUUCAGGUGGUUCAAACUCUUUGGUCUCCAUAUUUAGACUUUUCUGAACUAGUUUUGAUUUUGAAUGAUUGUAAAUCUUUGUUAGACUCUAGAACUGAUAUUUCUGUUAAAUGGGUUCAUCGACAUGCCACUCUAACUACUCAAACUUUGGCUAGAAAAUCUAUUAGGUAUAAUCGUCACUCUAUCAGAGAUAAUAUCCCUCUUUAUUUGAUGAAAUUUUAUUAAUACAAUCAAUAGUUUUGCUUUUUAAAAAAAAAUAAUAAACAUUAGAAAUUCUUUUUAAAAAUAAAUUAAAUAUUAAUGACAGAAUUUUGAGUGGAUAAAAUAAAUUAAUAAUUGAAAAUAAAAAACUGAAAUACAUAAUUUUUAAAAUUUCCUGUAAAAAAAAAGGAAAUAAAUAAGAAAGGGCAAUCACAGCACAUUUUAAUAAUUAAAUUCAGAAACAAAAAGAAAGAAAGAAAACCAGGUUUCAGGCGCUUUCCCUCUUCUUCUCGGUGUCUCUCUCUCUCUUUGUUGCUCUCAUUCUCUCCCCUGCCCCACACGGCCUCUCUCACUCUGUCUCUUCUCAUUUGUCGCUUCUGGUACUCGCAAUGGUGGUUUGUGUUGACAUGUUUAUUUAUUUGAUUUUCUAUGGGUUUGGGAUUGUUAAUAUGGUGUGUUUUUCUUUGGGUUUUUCAGGUUAGUGUUUAAUUCUCAUCAUCCCUCACAAUGGCAUAACUGCAGGUUAGUGGGUGUUCAGAAUUUAUAUUCUAUUAACUGUUGAUUAAUUGUUUUCAGGGUUAGAUUAUGGGAGCCUUAAUUGGUACGAGUGUUUGAGAAUACAUGAAUUGAUAUGAGCCUGAAUUAAAAAAAAUUAACAGCUUAAAUGGGUAAUUGAAAAUUACCCUUUUGCAUCAAAAUAUACCAAUUGGGUGUCAUUUAAAAAUCCAUUUUUGCUGCAAUCUAUAUUGUUAUACUGUUAUGAUUCUGAUAACAUAUGUAUGCAACUUUUUAUGUAAAGGAUUAUUGUUUAGCUCCGGACAAUCUAUGAUUCGAACCUCUGGAUGUGACGCUUUUUAUGUACGAGUGUUUAAUUUUCUUUCAUUUAAAUAAAAGUAAAGAAAAAUAUAUAUAAAGGAAAAAUUUUAAAAUACAAUAACGUAAUAACCAAUUAAAUAUUAACUGUCACCUGAUUUAUGUAAAGGAUUAUUGUUUAGCUCCGGACAAUCUAUGAUUCGAACCUCUGGAUGUGACGCCAUGUUCUGUAGGCAAAUUGCCAAUUCUCCGAGGCUGUUGCAUUGUUCAACUUCCAACACUUCUAAACUAUUGGUAGAUCCUUGAAUAAGCCAUUCUGGAAAGUCCAAAAUUUUUGGCAACCAUCUUAACUCUAAUCUUUGGAGGCUGAAUUGCGUUUCUUCUCCUUCCUCCAUUCUCAAAUCCAGGUUUUCACAACCAUCAAUACAAAGAGUUUCUUCUCCUUCCUCCAUUCUCAAAUCCAGCUUUUCACAACCAUCAAUACAAAGAGUAUCUAAUGUUGUUAGGCAUUUUAUACUUUGUGGCAAAGAGAUCAAUCUUCUACAAUCAACAUAAGAGC
rnacentral:lncRNA from 1 species